UAAGCCCUAGCGCCCAUCCCCGGAAGCAGCUCUCUGUGCUUCCUGAACUGUUUACCUAAAGGCUUAUCUUCCCGGGGCUCCUUCCCUCCGGAUUUCAUUCUGUUUAUAAAUAUUGAAGCUGAAAUGUAAACCACGCUGAAAUUCUUUCCCCCAAAGGCCUACAUGUCCCGGGGUGAGAGAUGAGCAGAAGAAAAGGUUCUUUUGCUAGUAAAUGAAGAGAACCUUGUGAAAGACUUGGAGCAGAGAUCAGCUAACUGAGCCUACUGGUCAAAUUUGACCUACCACCUUUUUUAAAAAAAAUAAAGUUUUACUGAAACACA